CCUCACUUUUUUGCUCCUUUAACCGAGACCUUUAAAGGGAGGAUAAAACUUCGUCUCUCGUACUACCCUUCAUAUACAACGUACU
rnacentral:ncRNA from 1 species